rnacentral:rRNA from 1 species
GAUGAACGCUGGCGGCGUGCCUAAUACAUGCAAGUCGAGCGAACAGACGAGGAGCUUGCUCCUCUGACGUUAGCGGCGGACGGGUGAGUAACACGUGGAUAACCUACCUAUAAGACUGGGAUAACUUCGGGAAACCGGAGCUAAUACCGGAUAACAUGUUGAACCGCAUGGUUUAACAGUGAAAGACGGUCUUGCUGUCACUUAUAGAUGGAUCCGCGCCGCAUUAGCUAGUUGGUAAGGUAACGGCUUACCAAGGCAACGAUGCGUAGCCGACCUGAGAGGGUGAUCGGCCACCCUGGAACUGAGACACGGUCCAGACUCCUACGGGAGGCAGCAGUAGGGAAUCUUCCGCAAUGGGCGAAAGCCUGACGGAGCAACGCCGCGUGAGUGAAGAAGGUCUUCGGAUCGUAAAACUCUGUUAUUAGGGAAGAACAAAUGUGUAAGUAACUAUGCACGUCUUGACGGUACCUAAUCAGAAAGCCACGGCUAACUACGUG